UACAGAGGUCUCAAGCGUUGUUCGGAUUCAUUGGGCGUAAAGGGUGUGUAGGUGGCGCGCUAAGUCGGGUGUGAAAUUUCGGAGCUUAACUCCGAAACUGCAUUCGAUACUGGCGUGCUUGAGGACUGGAGAGGAGACUGGAAUUCAUGGUGUAGCAGUGAAAUGCGUAGAGAUCGGGAAGAACAUCAGUGGCGAAGGCGGUCUGCUGGGCCGUUGCUGACGCUGAGGCGCGACAGCGUGGGGAGCAAACAGG
rnacentral:rRNA from 1 species